GAUGGACGCUGGCGGCGUGCCUAACACAUGCAAGUCGAGCGAGAAGUUUGAAAAAUGAGUUUUCGAACAAGUGAUUCAAACGGAAAGCGGCGGACGGGUGAGUAACGCGUGGGCAACCUGCCCCGUGCAGAGGGACAGCCUCGGGAAACCGGGAUUAAGACCUCAUGAUAUCGGGUUAUCACAUGGUAAUCCGGUCAAAGAUUUAUCGGCAUGGGAUGGGCCUGCGUCUGAUUAGCUGGUUGGUGGGGUAACGGCCUACCAAGGCGACGAUCAGUAGCAGAACUGAGAGGUUCAUCUGCCACAUUGGAACUGGGACACGGUCCAAACUCCUACGGGAGGCAGCAGUGAGGAAUAUUGCACAAUGGGCGAAAGCCUGAUGCAGCAACGCCGCGUGAGCGAAGAAGGCCUUUGGGUCGUAAAGCUCUGUUCUUGGGGAAGAAACAAAUGACGGUACCCUUGGAGGAAGCCCCGGCUAACUACGUGCCAGCCGCCGCCGCUG
rnacentral:rRNA from 1 species